GUGUCAGCAGCCGCGGUAAUACGGAGGUGGCGAGCGUUGUUCGGAAUUACUGGGCGUAAAGGGCGCGUAGGCGGGGGGAGAAGUCGGGUGUGAAAGCCCUCGGCUCAACCGAGGAACGGCGCUCGAGACUCUCUCUCUUGAGUCCCGGAGAGGACGAUGGAAUUCCCGGUGUAGCGGUGAAAUGUGUAGAGAUCGGGAGGAACACCGGUGGCGAAGGCGGUCGUCUGGACGGUGACUGACGCUGAGGCGCGAAAGCGUGGGGAGCAAACGGGAUUAGAUACCCCGGUAGUCC
rnacentral:rRNA from 1 species